rnacentral:rRNA from 1 species
UACGUAGGGAGCGAGCGUUGUCCGGAUUUAUUGGGCGUAAAGAGCGCGUAGGCGGCUUGGUAAGCCGGAUGUGAAACCUCCAAGCUUAACUUGGAGCGGCCAUUCGGAACUGCCAUGGCUAGAGUCUGGUAGGGGAACACGGAAUACCUGGUGUAGCGGUGAAAUGCUUAGAUAUCAGGUGGAACACCAGUGGCGAAGGCGGUGUUCUGGGCCAGUACUGACGCUGAGGCGCGAAAGCGUGGGGAGCGAACAGG